CCUUCUGUAGCUCAGUUGGAAGAGCGUGGGACUGUAAUUGGAUGAACUGAGUGCAUCCCAAGGUCACUGGUUCGACCCCGGUCGGAAGGA
rnacentral:tRNA from 1 species